rnacentral:lncRNA from 1 species
GACAGUUGUUGCUCCGUGAGAUUUCUGGAAGAAUGACUGAAGAAGUCUCAGCAUCAUGUGUUACAGGUGGGAAGAUUUGCAACUAAUUGGCUUAUGUGUGAAAUGUCUACAUAUCCAGGGAGAAUUUUAUUUAUAUGUAAGGAAAUGAGUUAUUUACAGGUGAGAAUUGUUUAGGAGUACCUCCAUUUCUUGGAAGUUGAGUUUAUCAUAUAGCAUUGUAUUUCCUUUUUUUUUUUUCAAUGUGGUAGGAAUCCCAAAUUGGGUCCAAGCUCUGUUCACCACUGGAGAUCAGACUCCCUGGACAAUAUACAGUGAACCUGCUGGGAAGGUCUGCCAGAAGCUGGCCAGCACAAUGACGGUUGCGCCUCCAAGAACUAGGCAAAGCCUUCUGAAUUCUGAUAUUUGUGGAGCCCCCAGAAGAAGUGACAGCUCUGUGCCUAAGCAUUCCAGAUGAAUCCUGACUCAUAUCAGUAACCUGACCCAUAUCAAGUUCUUAAUUUCCUUGGAAAUGAGUGGAUAACCAAGAAUUAUGAGUCAUCUAAGGAAUGCCUUCAACAUGAAACAAAGGGACCAAGAAAAACAGGGGAAAAUGUGUAACAGUUGAAGGGAUAUAUAAUUUGAGAAACAAGAGAGAACUUAGAGGAAAAAAUAAUUACUACCCUUAGAGACAUUUGAGAAGAUUUGACAUCAUUAAAACCCAACAGAAUGCUAUGAAAGAAGAAUGGAGAAAAAUGAAAAAGUUCUUAGAUAAGACUGCUAAAUAAACAGUUAAGUAAAAGAGUUCAAAAAUAAAAUUAGAGUUACCUCCCAAAAAGAAAUAUAAAAAAACAGAUGGAAAAUAUAAGAAAAUAGAUAACAUCUCUAGGAUAUCAGUUUAGGAAUCAUGACAUCAGACAAACAGGAGACCAAAAAGAAAAGAGAGAAAAUAGAGGGGAAGAAAUGAUCAAAUUAAAAAUGUAAGAGAACUUCUCAGACCUGAAGGAAAGAGGUAUUCAUAUUUCAAGGAUCUACUGAGUGCCUAGCACAAUAAAAUGAAAAACAUUCACAACAAGUUAUGAAAUCUCAGAACGUUGAGUUUAAAGAGAAGAUCUGAAAAUUUCCCAGAGAGACGCUUCUAGAGGUCAUGUACAAAGAAAAAAAAAAAAAAAAUCACACUGGCCUCAAAAUUCCUCAUUAAGUUAGAAGAUAAUGGAAAAAGAUCUCAAAAAUUUUGACCAAAAAUAAUUUUCACUGAUCACUGAAGAUCUAGGCAAACUACCAAUCAAAUGGAAAGCUAGAAUAAAAUUUUAAACAAAGGCUUGGGAAUUUCUAUCCCAUGGUACUUGUGUUCCAGAACAAAAAUAAAUAAAAGGGGAGCCAAGAAGGAGAAGGAUGCACUGAGACCUCAAAUGGACCCAGAGAUGCCUUAAUAAACGAACACAGGAAUAAGGAUUG